UACGUAGGGGGCAAGCGUUGUCCGGAUUCAUUGGGCGUAAAGAGCGUGUAGGCGGCCAGGUAGGUCGGUUGUGAAAACUGGAGGCUCAACCUUCAGACGUCGACCGAAACCAUCUGGCUAGAGUCCGGGAGAGGAGAGUGGAAUUCCUGGUGUAGCGGUGAAAUGCGCAGAUAUCGGGAAGAACACCCGUGGCGAAGGCGGCUCUCUGGGACGGUACUGACGCUGAGACGCGAAAGCGUGGGGAGCGAACAGG
rnacentral:rRNA from 1 species